UUGACAUGUGUGAAAACAUGAAAUGACCCUUGGCUCUUAUUGUUCUUGCUGGUGUGGUAUGUUCACGGCUGAAAAGGUGGUCAGAAGGAGAAAGGAGGAAGUGAGAAGAAAGAAACAGGGAAAUGACAGAGUGUUGCUCAGUUACCCAGGCUGGAGUGCAAUGGCAUGAUCUUGGCUCACUGCAGCCUCCACCUCCUGGGUUCAAGCGGUUCUCGUGCCUCAGUCUCCCAAGUAGCUGGGAUUACAGGCUGGAGUGCGAUGGCAUGAUCUUGGCUCACGGCAAACUCCGCCUCCCUGGUUCAAGUGAUUCUCCUGCCUCAGCCUCCCGAGUAGCUGGGAUUACAGGCAUGUGCCACCAUGCCCCGUUGGCCAGGCUGGUCUCGAACACCUUACCUCAGGUGAUCCUCCCACCUUUGGGAUUACAGACCCUGCAUGUGAUGGAUCAGCUGACACCAUCCAGAUUGGUAAACUGGUUCGUCUGAUCUUGUGCCCUCCACCCAGGAACUGACUCAGCGCAAGAAGACAGCUUCGACUCCUUAUGAUUUCAUCCCUAACCAAUCAGCACUCCUGGCUCACUGGCUUCCCCCAACCCACCAAAUUGUCCUUAAAAACUCUGUUCUCCAAAUGCUGGGGGAGACUGAUUUGAGUAAUAAUAAAACUCUGGUCUCCUGCA
rnacentral:lncRNA from 1 species